AUCAAAUAUUCUAUAAAAUAUAAAUACACUGAACUCAUUUGGAUAUAUUUAAGUGAGACUCGACAAUAUUGUUUGACACAAAUCUAUCUAAAUCAAAAUUUUAAUCAUUUUCACGCCAAACAUUUACUGGACUGAUUUAAAUAUUCAAAUCACUCCUUUCUAAUCCUCUGCUGUACGUUCAAACCUGAGGCCUUAAACAGAAACACACAAGUAUCUGUUUGAAGGAACUUCUGCAGAGUCCUGGUUCCAGAACAUGAUGAUAGAAUUAUAGACAAACUUUAACAAAAGCUGCCUGAGAGUUUACAGGUUUUUAUGUUAGAUUUCUUCAGUAAUUUAAUGAGAGUUAUCAGCAAAAAUCAAGUGUUCAUUUGAUGAACUUCAUUUCCUAAAACAUCCAGAAUUGGAGCUCAUAUCUUUGGCAGCUGUAAAGUUUCUGCUCCUUCAAAGUUCACAACACAAUGAAUGAAUUCCUAAAACACUCUCAAUGCUGGAGAGCGUUUGUGAUGCUGAAGCAGUGAGCAGUUUUUCUGUUUCUUCUCUGGAGAUGCACAAUGAGGGACGUCUGCAGAGACUGAGAAAGAGUCUCACCACAUCCUGACAUGAGGAAAAAGACUUUAUUGAAGACUACAAUGAGAAAAACUAUCAGACAGCAGACGGCUGCAUUCAAGGCUACAGGAGGAGCCCUACGAGGACGAGCCGGUCCACCUGAUGGAGGCCAGUCGCUGCGGUUCAAAGCCAACACUGACUACGUGGACUUCUACUGGACCACACGGAGGCCUUCAAACCGGACCAACAAGUUCAGCGACUCCCCGACUCGUGGGUCUGAGGACGCCGCCGAGCCUCAGCCCAGCUGGCCUCCUGUCUGUGGGUGUUUGAGUGCUGAGAGGUUUGUGGAUGUGAACG
ensembl:lncRNA